rnacentral:rRNA from 1 species
UACGAAAGGUGCAAGCGUUACUCGGAAUCACUGGGCGUAAAGCGCACGUAGGCGGACUCACAGGUCAAUUGUGAAAUACCUGGGCUCAACCCGGGAACUGCAGUUGAAACCGUUUGUCUUGAAUACCUGAGAGGGUGGGGGAAUACCUGGUGGAGAAGUGAAAUUCGUAGAGAUCAGGGGGAACACCGGAGGCGAAGGCGCCUGCCUGGCAGUGUAUUGACGCUGAGGUGCGAAAGUGCGGGGAGCAAACAGG